CAAGUCGUGGGGCAGCGGGGUAACAAUACCCCGCCGACCGCCAAACGGGUGCGGAACACGUACGCAACCUUCCUUCAAGAGAUGGAUAGCCCGAAGAAAUUCGGAUUAAUACAUCGUAAAAUCACAGGGUGGCAUCACCUCAUGAUUAAAGAAUUUCGCUUGAAGAUGGGCGUGCGCCUGAUUAGGUAGUUGGUGAGGUAACGGCUCACCAAGCCAACGAUCAGUAACUGGCGUGAGAGCGCGACCAGUCACACGGGCACUGAGACACGGGCCCGACUCCUACGGGAGGCAGCAGUAAGGAAUAUUGGUCAAUGGACGCAAGUCUGAACCAGCCAUGCCGCGUGAAGGAUGAAGGCCCUCUGGGUCGUAAACUUCUUUUAUCUGGGACGAAAUCACCUUUUUCUAAGGGUGUUGACGGUACCAGACGAAUAAGCACCGGCCAACCCGUGAUUCGG
rnacentral:rRNA from 1 species